AUUUGACCAUUUUGAACUAGAUCUAGCUGAAUAUUAUCAACCUAACCUAAUUAUAUAGAACUACUA
rnacentral:tRNA from 1 species